rnacentral:rRNA from 1 species
UACGUAGGGUGCAAGCGUUGUCCGGAAUUAUUGGGCGUAAAGAGCUCGUAGGCGGUCUGUUGCGUCGGCUGUGAAAACCCGGGGCUCAACUCCGGGCCUGCAGCCGAUACGGGCAGACUAGAGUUCGGCAGGGGAGACUGGAAUUCCUGGUGUAGCGGUGAAAUGCGCAGAUAUCAGGAGGAACACCGGUGGCGAAGGCGGGUCUCUGGGCCAUAACUGACGCUGAGGAGCGAAAGCGUGGGGAGCGAACAGG